ACAAGGCCCGGGAACGUAUUCACCGUAGCAUUUUGAUCUACGAUUACUAGCGAUUCCGACUUCAUGGAGUCGAGUUGCAGACUCCAAUCCGGACUACGACGCACUUUAUGAGGUCCGCUUGCUCUCGCGAGGUCGCUUCUCUUUGUAUGCGCCAUUGUAGCACGUGUGUAGCCCUACUCGUAAGGGCCAUGAUGACUUGACGUCAUCCCCACCUUCCUCCAGUUUAUCACUGGCAGUCUCCUUUGAGUUCCCGGCCGAACCGCUGGCAACAAAGGAUAAGGGUUGCGCUCGUUGCGGGACUUAACCCAACAUUUCACAACACGAGCUGACGACAGCCAUGCAGCACCUGUCUCAGAGUUCCCGAAGGCACCAAAGCAUCUCUGCUANGUUCUCUGNAAGGAGUUAAA
rnacentral:rRNA from 1 species